rnacentral:lncRNA from 1 species
GCCUGACAAUGCCAAAGUGACCAUCUGCCGAAGAGGCUACCACGAAUGGUUAGCGAGUCCUCCCGAACCUCCUAACUCCGAGGUGGCAUUUGUUGUGCCUGUCAGAAUAUGGAUGAGCUACGGAAGUUCCUUAUGAAUGUUUUAAACUUCGAUCCCAUGAGCUGGCGUUUGUUAACCUGAUCCCUAGGCAAUGGACCCAGUACGACUAUCCCCCAGACAGCAAGAGGUAUAAAAGAUAAAAUUGAAAUAUAGCCUUUUGGUGGCUGAUGUGGGAUCGAACCAUUUGGCUGACAAAUAUCCACAUGAACCCUCCAAACAACAUUUGCAGCUUCGGACGGCGCCCGAAAUUCCUCAAUAGUGGGAGAUGGGUCCAAAGUAGAAUACCCGAAGUCUUUCUGUGCUGAAUCCCCAGUUCUUUCAAGAAUAUCGCUGCCGAAGUGCUUUGUAGGUCAACAACUUCGGGCCAAAU